ACCCCUUUGGGUAAGCAAAAUCAGCCUUCCCGAUCACAUUCACAUUCUGUGCAGCUUUAAAAAUAGGCACUGAUUGGACACUAAGAGCUAAUUGAUCACGAUCGGUUUGUGGAGCAGAGAGGUCCAGGUGGAGCAAGUAUUGGUUUUUCGGGUGGUAAGUGGCAUAUAGAAGUCUAAGGACCCGAUCCAAAUCACCCUUGGACCCGGAUAUCAAGUAGGCGAUGGAGGGUGGGUUGGAUCAGAAGGGAUUUUGGUGAAAGUGGGUUCGCGGUUUGGGAAGAGAUACGGGUCGGGCCGGCCAUGGGUGGAUAUAGAGGAGGUGUUGAAGGAGUAAGAGGAGAGGGUGAAGAUGAAGAGGAGGGAGAAAAAGGAGGUGGUUAGGAUUAUGAAGAGCGUGGUUUUGGUGUUGUCAUUUGUGGAGGAGGAGGAGAGCGGUGGUGGUGGUUGUUGUGGGACUUGCAUUUUCUUGGAAAAUGGAAGGGUUUUCUUUCGUCCGUGAAUCAGUUCGAUUUAUCUGGUAUUUUUUAUAUUGAAGGAAGUGAAGUGGGCCUGUGUUGUGCGUCCGGGGUUUCGGUUCCUGGGAAACAGGAAGAGCGUAACAUUUUUUGUUAUUUUGCUUUAAUCAUUUUUUGGUUAUAAUCGGUCUGAGUUCAAAAAGAUUUGCUUCCUCUUUUAACUCAUCACACUUGUACCAAUCUUAAAACUUGGAAUACAUUACGAGAAAAAAACUGGAAUCAUCAGCAAAAAAUUGAAAGGUAUAGUGUUUUCAUUGUAUAUACAUGUGAAAACAUUGUUAAUUAUAAUAGUAAUUCUUUGUUUUGUUUUUUUUGCUAUUCAAUUUUUUUCUAUUCUUGUUAUUUAACUCUAUUUUUCUUUGAUUUUGUUAAUUUUCUCUGAGAAAAAUAAGAUUGAGUUGAUUCUCAAUUUUAUAAAAAUAAUAUUUAUAAAAAAAUAAAAAUAAAAGGACUAAGAUGGAAAGCAAGGGAAAAAUAUAGUUUUUUUUUACAUGGUAUAGUUCAUUCGGUGCCUUUUGGGGAAAAAAAACCUAGAGAUUUUUCUCAGUUUUUAUUUUAAUUAUUUUAGUUUGAAAAUUAUAUAUUCUAGUCUGAAUUUUCAUUCACUUUUAAGUAAGAAAAAGUUAUUGGAUGUUCAUAUUUCAAUAGUAAGAACUUGUUUUAGGUUUUAAUAACUUUAAUUUGACAAAAAAAUAUUCUAUUGAGAUGUUUUUUAUUAUCUAUCCUGGCAUAAAAAAGUAGGUUCAAAUUUAGAAAUAAUAUUUUUUGUUUAAUCUUGUAUUUUUGAAUAUAUUUAGAAGUGUUUUGAAUUGAGAAAUUAAUUAAUUUAUAUUUUCAUGGUAUUUUUUAAAUAUUUUUAGAUGAAAAUAAAUUUUUAAAAUUCUAAACUCAAACCUCAAUUUUUUAAUCAUAAAAGAUGAUUGAAAACCUCUCUCUAUUAACUCUGAUUUAUUUCCCAUUGAAAACCUGACCUCUUCUGUUUUUUUUUUCUUUUUAAUUCUGAUUUUUUUUGAAGUUUUAACUAACCCCUUUAUUUUUUUUUUACUUUGCAUUAUUUUUUCAUAUUCAAAUUAAUAACCUCUCUCUAUUAUUUUUAAAUUGUUUAGAUUAUUUGUUUUAAAUAGCAGUUUUAUUUUUAUAAUAUUUAAAGAGAUUAUUGUAAUUUAUUUUUAAAUAUUUUAUUUUAUAUAUGAUAUAAAUAAUUUGUAUUUGCAUUUUGUAUUUAUGAAAAAAAAAUUAUUUUUUCUAGUAAGAAAAUAUAACUUGUAAGAUAAAAAUGAUAAAAAAGUGUAAAUUAAAAGAAAAUAUCGGGAGUAUAUACUCAUAAUAUAAGCCUAGGUUCUUGACCCUGUUGCUGCUGGAGCUUCUGGUUUCCGGUUAAAGGCUUGUUUGGAGCUUGUGGGUUUGAGGCCUAGUGUUAUUAGAGGAAAUGGGUCCGAGAUUAUUGCUCCUUCAAAGGCUUCUGGUGGAACCACUAAGGUAUUGGAUUUUUCCUUACACGAGAAUUUAUAAAACAUCAAUUCAGCACCCUUGUGAAAAUUGCAAAACUAGAAUUACCAUGCUUGAAAUUGUUUUUAUUGGAUUAUUACAACAUGGGAGUCUUAGUUUUUCUUUCAAUUUCUUUUGGGGUUUUAUGUUCGUUUCAGCUUCAUGAUUGAGUUUCAUUUUCAAGGUUGUAGAUAGCUCUCAUGAGUCAAUGGUGUUGAAUAUUAAACUCAUCAUCCAGAAAGUCAAGGAAGACAACCACCGCCUCACCGGCCACCAGCUGUCACCGACCAGCCGCCAGCCACCAGCUGCCACCGCCUAGCUGCAUUCACACCAUUGGCCGCCAACCACUUUCACACCAUGANNNNNNNNNNNNNNNNNNNNNNNNNNNNNNNNNNNNNNNNNNNNNNNNNNNNNNNNNNNNNNNNNNNNNNNNNNNNNNNNNNNNNNNNNNNNNNNNNNNNUCCAUUACUGCCUUUGGUGGAUUCAUUACCAUGUUUUGCUUGCAUUUCUAGAAAACCCAUUUCAACUUUGUGUAAGUUUUUCUGUUUAUUCAUUUCGGUAUCCCUUUGUGCUUCAAAAAUUGAAUCUUUGUAAAGAGGAAAUGAUAAAGCUACUUACUUGACUGGUAGUUUCUGUUCUUUUUCAAAUGUGCGUUACCAAUUAAGUGUUAUAAAGUGGAAUUUUGGCUUACUUGCUGCGCUAAAUAGUUUAGCUAGUAUACCAAGGACAAUGGAUACACAGUGAAUUUUAGUGGAGCUUAUCUAGGUUAAGAAACAAAAAUAGCUUAGAUUGUGUAAAGCUUUUAUCUAAGGAUGAGGUAGAGGAUAAGAACUUAGCUUGGGGAUACUGGGUUUAUUCUGUUGUUUUUAUUGUCUUGUUUUUUGGAUGUUUGCUGGGAUUUAAGGGUGGGUGUAUGUAUAUAUGCUGGAACAUAAAGGGUGUGGAGUUGCAAUUGAAUGGUUCCAUCAAUCAUGAAUAUUCGAUGGUUUUGUUUAUCUGAAUGAAUGAUAAAAUGUGAAGAAUCCAACUAGCUAGACCCUAUUAUAACAUGAAUGUGCUACAAUGUUCAUGUUUUGUCUCCUGUGCGUUGUGUGCUAUUAAGUAAAACUCUCCAACUCAUACGGUCAGGCUGAAGUAAUAUCGAGGUAUAAUUGUGGAGGCUAUUGAGUGCCCCCUUUGGGUUUUAAAGUAGUUCAUGGAGAAGCAUUCUUCGUUGAUGCUUGUACCACUAAAAAUUGCCAUGCAUCUUGUUAAUAUAUUUUUAUUUCUUUUGUAUAUUUACAUCAUUUCUAUUGUCAGUUAUUUUGGUGUUGAGUUAGCGGGUAACAUGUUCUUUAAUAGUAAGACGCAGAGAGAUCUCAAAGUUGAAUUCCAGAUCCGGCACAUUCAGAGCACAAGCAUCCAAUGUUGGUAUAGGAUCUGGGGGCUAUGAAGGCAAGGAGGAACAAGACAACCAGAAAAGUUUUGUCAAUGGUCCACCUGGUGAUAACUUGCCUGAAAUGUAAGUGAUAUGAAGAAAUACUGACUCUUAUAAAGCUAUAAUCUGGUAAACAUUUGUGUUGUUUAAGCCAUUAUGAUGCACUAUAAAUUUCUCUCCUGGAGAUCUCCAGUUUUUAUGGCACUGCAAACUUCAUAUAGACAUCUAUGAUGAGUGAUUUUGUAUUUAGCAACAUUUGCAUGCACAAAUGGAAGGAGAAUCCUUGAGUGUUUCUAUUACAUAGUUGCUCUUUAAAGUGGAGCUGGCAACCGUUUUCAGUUGAAGAUGUUAUCUAAAUCUGAUUUAUGAAGAUUUUCUGUUGGUACUGUAUGAUUCAAACCCCUCUUUCCCACCUCCAGGAAGCUAAAGUGGCCAUUCACUGUCAGAAAUAUGAAGAAAAGAUGUCCACACCUCCUCUGUUAUCCUUUAUGCAAAUCACAUGCUGUUGACAUAAAUAAGAAAAAAAUCUUUUGGGGAUAUACCUACUUGCAAUUUUGCUAGUCAUUAGAUUUCAAACCCUAACUUUUUUUUUUUUGGGGUUCAACAACACUCAACAGUCAACCGGCUGUUUCUGAAUUUGUUUAACAUUGAUGAUCUUAAACAUCUAGUCAGUGCAUCUGAAGUCUAAUUUGCCAGAGGCUUAGGAUGGACAUAUUUUAAGUAAGACGUCACUCAUAAUUCUUUCAUGAUUUGCAGUGUAAAACCACCCAGCAAAAUUCCUUAUCCUCUAUCUAUAGCUAUUGUGCUGCUUGGAUGUACUUUGGUAUUUUCACUUAUUGCUUUCGUGAGAGGUGGACCUUCAUCAAUUUUAGCAGCAAUCGCCAAGUCAGGAUUGACUGCUGCAUUCACAUUAAUAUUUGUUUCUGAAAUAGGGGACAAGGUAACCAGUUUACAGUUAAAACUUUUCUCUUCAAUCGCCAACUAAUUCUAUGUCCGUGAGACUUUUUUUGAUAUAUAUUUUCUAAUUUACUCUGUUCAGUUCAUCAUCUCAUUUACUUUAUUGAAGUUCUGCACACAAUGGCUAGAUGGCUUGACUUUUUCAAAGUAUUCAUUUUACCUUUUUCUCUUGGUAGAGGUUUGUCAAAAAAGGUUUUUUAUUAUUCAAAUCUUGCCCUAAGGGAAAAAUGUAGAGGACUCUGGGAGUACAAAAUCUUCCCAGGGAAAUGAAACAUGAAGUAUGACCUAAAGCAUGCAAUCCAAUUUGCUCAAAUUUCUUGUGAAUUAAAGCAAAAUAUCAAGCUAUUUAUUAACAUACUAAGGGCUUAAGGAUACUUCUGGCAUGCUUUAACUGUUGCUCUUUUCAAGUUGAUUACAAUUGCUUUGUCUUACAUGAUUUUUGCUGACCAAAUAACCACUACCACUACCAUCUCCAGAUUUAUCUUCCAUUAUCUGCUCGUUCAACAUUGUAGGGGAACUUCUUACUACUGUUUACAUUCAUUCAAGAAUAUGACAGAAAUUUCAUGAACUUCUCUACAAAAUUAAAGCGAACAAACUUUUGGAGCCUCCCAAAAUGGUUAGGUAUAAAAAAAUAUAGACACAGGAAAUAAUUUUUUAUCACAUCAAUUUUCCAAAUUGAAGGCAAAGGAAAGCCAACUGUAAUUUGGUUGCAACCACAGGUAAAUGAGAACAAAUGAUAAAUAAAGUGUACACUCUGGAUGUUUUUCAGCAGUCAGUGGCAGCCUUUAAAGUGUAACAAAUAUGUGCUACAAAUGCCUUUGAUUUUUCAAAAAAUUUAAUAAGUAAUUGAUCUUUAACUUUGCACAUUUCCAUGCUUGUGGCCCCAAGCUCUAAUGCCCUUUUGCGUGAUCUGCAUUCCAGCAGCUAGGCCUGAUAACUGCUAAUCUGCUAUUCAUUAUGACCUCAUUAGCUCCUGCUGGUGAGAUAGAUUCAUUGGAUUUGAUCUUGUAGUCUUCAUGAGUAAUGAAUACAACAGAAAUAUCUAGUUUUUUUUCUGUUUACAGGUUCACAUUCACAAAUGAAUGGUGGAAAUCUUAUUCUAUGAGGAACCUUGUGUUUUUCUAAUUUAAUUGAAGGCAUGAUUCAAACAUAAGCAGAAUGGUGAUCAGGAGUAGUACAGACUGAUGAGUUAGAUUCUUUUAGCUGAUGUGUGAAAAUAGAGACAGUACAGGUCCAACUGGGAUAUGUUUUACUUAUUUGAGGAUUUUGUUUCCUACAAUGUGAAUCCAUUUGCUUGCUGAAGUUGACUAAUUAUCUGCACUUCCAAAUUUCUGGAGCCUAAAAUUAACUCUCUCAUGUAUUGACAGACAUUUUUUAUUGCUGCACUCUUGGCCAUGCAAUAUGAGAAAGGAUUGGUAUGUUUCUCCUGAACUUUCAACCCCUGUUAAUUCAGGAUUGCUUAUGUUAUGUUCUUCAAUGUUUGUUCUGGUUCAAUUUUCUUAAAUGUGCUCAUAAAUAUGAUAGUUUUAUUCCAUAGGGGUGAAUAAAAAUCUGAAAACCCUCAGAAGUUUGCAGCUUACUCCCACAAAGAAUUUGAAAAAUGAGAGACUAAUAAGUGGGAACUUAUUGGCACUGUCAUUCAUUUAUAAUCAGCAAAUAGAAGUAGUCAUUUUUAAGUUAAGAUUGCUGGUCGUUCAUUGCAGAUAUGUAUUAUAGUAUCUAGUUAGAUGAUCACAUAUCAGUUAAUGCUUUCUUUUGUGACUAAUUUUUCUUUUAAUCUCUCAAAUCAUUGACCAGGUUCUUUGGGAUCAAUGGGUGCUCUUUCACUUAUGACAAUCUUGUCAGUGGUAAUUGGACGAAUAUUUAAUUCAGUGCCUGCUCAGUUCCAGACAAGUAAGCUAUUGUCUUGGUAACUGUCCACUUAGCUGACUUGCUUGUGUUCUUUAUUAAUGACUUUAGUGAAAUAGAAACAUGUGUCUUAUCUUGUUAGCCAUGAACAGCCCUCCAAUUGGAGAAUAUGCAGCAGUAACUCUUCUCAUGUUCUUUGGGCUAAAAUCAAUAAAAGAUGCAUGGGAUCUUCCAUCAAAGGACGCUAAGACUGGUGACAAAAGUUGUCCGGAACUUGAUGAAUAUGCUGAAGCUGAGGAGCUUGUGAAAGAAAAGGUAAUCUUGUAACUCAGAAGCCUGAGCUUUUGGGGAAUAUAUUCAGCUCAUUCAUUCAGAGUGAGUUGCAAAAGCCAUAGUCAUGAUUAUUCUUGUUUGAUGAUUUUGGGAGAUUUUGCUUUGUGUUCUUGGAAUUUGUUUCAUUUGGUGUUUCCCUAAAAUUCAUCGCAGCAGAUACUUUCUUAAUGACUACAGGUCUCAAAACCGCUCACCAAUCCAUUUGAGAUUGUGUGGAAGUCAUUCAGCCUUGUCUUCUUUGCUGUAAGCAUCCAUACCUUUAUCUUCUUUUUUCAAGUUUAAUAGUAAGAAUUUCUUUUUCCUAACGGCAUUUUGGUCUCACUUAAAGGGCCCUUGAUAGGGAGAAUUUAAACGUGGUCCUCUGUAUGGUUUUUGCAUGAAAUGUUAGCUCUCGAAACUCCAAUUGCACCUCGCUAUUGUUAUUAAAAUUGCAGCAUAAACAUUUGGAUACAGUCGUAGAUUUUCAUUUUCAUGCUUUCAUAUCUUAUUGGCAACUUCACUGUGAGACAGUGAAUGUUAGAAGGCAUUAUUUAAUGAACCGAAAGUUUCCAGCUUCACCAAAUUGUAAUUGCUUCUAGGAAUGGGGAGAUCGCUCAAUGCUUGCAACAAUUGCUCUUGGUGCCGCGCAGGUGUGAUUUCAUGAACUGUUGACCAUAUGAUAUAGCUAUUCUCUUCAUAGCUGAGAAUCAAUCACAGCAUUGCUUCCCCUUUUCCCUUUCUGCAGUCUCCAUGGGGUGUGGCAACUGGAGCCAUUGCUGGGCACCUGGUUGCAACAACCAUCGCCAUUCUAGGCGGAGCCUUUCUUGCAAACUACAUCUCAGAAAAGCUGGUGAGAGCUGCCACCAUGUAUAAUGGGUUAUUAUAAAACAUCUCAACUCAUAUUCUGUAAUCUAUGCAACUCACUCUGCCUUUUCGACCAGGUUGGCUACUUGGGUGGAGUGCUGUUUCUUGUUUUUGCUGUUGCCACUUUUUUUGGCUUCUUCUAAUGAGUUGGGAAUCAAGAGAAAUAGUUUUCGGGCAGCCAUAAUGGAGCACAGUUGCCUGCGGAUGUUGGACAGCAUUAGUUAUUAGAAAAAAGAUAGUUAAUGAAGAAGAGCAAAUUAUGUGCCAUGCAGCUCCAUGAGAUUGUCGUAUCCAUACCAAGACCCCAUCUUAGGUCAGGUGCAAGUUAUGUUGUGUGAUAAUUGAGACAUUUGGAAGACAAUUAUAUUAGAGAAUUCAGUUGAGACUUGGAAGAUCUGUAUAUUUUUUUCAGGAUGCAGAGUUACAUCCUUUGUUAUGGGUAAGAAAUUGACACUUCCGCCAUUAAUUUUUUUUACUCAAAUUUACAUGAAACGAGUGGUUUGCUCUGUUUUGCUGUUUGGUCUUCACAAGCUAGGCCCUCGAUCCAAUGGCGCACACUAGAAAACUACCAGUACCUCAUUAUUGUUCUCUAUCCCAGCAGAUUAUGGCAAAACCAUGUUCAGUGGAUUCGGAUCUAAAUGGCUAGUUCUUUUUAUUAUUAUUAUUAAUUCGGAUCUGAAAGGUGACAAUGCUGUCUAAUUUAUCCAUUCAUUAAUUUGGAAAUCCAAAUUUUGGCAUUCCAAGUAUCUAGUGUUAAUUACCAGGUCACAUGAAUUAAAUAAUUCAAGAUUCAAUGGAAUAAAUUGCCAUGGAAAACACCCUAAAGACAAGAACAGCAAGAAUAUAGCACAAAUAAUUCAAAAUCUAAUAGCACUUAUAUGUCAAGUUAAUUUCUAUAUUAAAACAAGAAAUUAGAAAAAUUAUUAAAUACAAGAAAUUUUUAUGAUACUUAAACCAUAACUAAUAGCAUUUUAUAUGUUACAUCGUGAUUAUAUUAAUUAAUAAGUAUUAUUGAACGUAUAUGGUAUCGCGAUGAUUAUUUUUUUAGAUUGAGAUAGUAGAGAAUAAUGUGGGUGGAAAAGAUAAUAAAUUUUUAUUUUUUAUCAGUAAAAAAAAUAAAAUAAAAAUUGUUAUCUAAUAUUUUGUUAAUUAAUAAGUAUUAUCGAACGUAUAUGGUAUCGCGGUGAUUAUUCUUUUAGAUUGAGAUAGUUAAGAAUAAUGUGGGUGGAAAAAAUAAUAAAUUUUUAUUUUUUAUCAGUAAAAAAAAUAAAAUAAAAAUUGUUAUCUAAUAUUUUGUUCGUUAAAAAUCCUAACUAGUCUUAAAGUUUGAAAAAAAAGACUAAUUAUAUAUAAAAAAUGUAUUAUCACCUCUAAUACAUCUUAUUUGAGGUAAAUUGUAUUAUUUAUUUGUCUGAUAUAAACUAAAAAAAAAUUAUAUUUUUUAAUUAUUAGCUUUUUUAGAGUUUAAGAAAAGUCAUUUUUAUUAAGAAAAUCAUUAUCUUAUCAUAUGAAAAAACUAACAAUUCUAAUGUUAACAAAAAUAAAUUGUCUUUAUAUUUAAUAUUAUAUAUAUAUAUAUAUAUAUAUAUAUAUAUAUAUAUAUCACAUUUAAUUUCAUUAUUCGGGGAUAAAUGAUAAAGCUGGAAUUGGAGGGGGUGUUGUCGAACUAUAUGUGAAGAAGAUAUGAGUGAGCUUUAUUACAAAAGGACAAAAAAACGAAUUUGGAUAGUUAGUUUUUUAAUUUUUUGAACAACCAAUAAUUCAAAUAAUUAUUCAGAAUACAAUUUGAGUAAUUCUGGUAAUAUGAUAAUUCUUUUUUGACAACGUUAUAUUUUAUUAAUUUGUUAUCUUUUUAUUUAUAAAUCUUAAAACUACUGUACUUGUAAUAUUUUUUUAUCUAAUUAGUAAAAACUUUUCGUUGGGUCUAAUUUUGGAUAAUUAAUUAUAUUUUUUUUUUAUAUUGUAGGUAAAAAAUAUUAAUGAGGUAAAAAAAUUCAAAUGAAAGGAAAAAAAAAACUCCAAAUUGAAUAAAGGAAAAAUCGAGUAAUUCGAAAUGAAAAAUUUUCAUAUUCACCCUAAAUGAGGAAAUAACUUACAAUGAAGUUUAUAUUGAACGGUUCAUAUUGCUCUAAAAAUGAUCUAAAAAAAUAAUAAUUAUCGCUAUAUAUUAUAAUAAUGAAAAAAAAAAGCAUCUGAAGGAAUUUUAACCAAAGCAUCCUAGAAGCCACCCAAAUGUGUAUGAGUGGUCGGGAAAUGUCCACAACAGCGAAGCUAUCCAAAUCCAUUUUAUCACAACUCUCUUCGAUCAAGAUUACAUCCGGCAACAAGAUCAAGCAAGGUUGAAACACAGGCAAAUUAAGAUGUCAACAGAGGUGAUGUUUCUUCGCAGUCACUGUUACCACGUACCAGAAAGAACAUCACCGCUCCUCUAUCCUUGCACUUACAGUGUCUAUGCCAAUAUCAGAUCGGACCACCCAGUAAGACUAAUGAGGAGAAGGCUGACAGCACCUAAACUGUUAAUGCUGCCACAGGUACAGAGACCAAAUAGAAAAUCAUCACCGUUAACAACAAUAACAGCAGCUGCUGCAGGCGUGCCACUGCCUCCACUUGAUUUGACUGAAGAGAAUGUUAAACAGGUGUUGGUUGAUGCUCGAGCAGAGGCAAGUACAGGGAUCUUUCUGAGAUCAGACUUUCUUUGUUUUUCUCUUGUCUGUAUGAGUUUGGCUAGUUUAAAAUAGUAGGAUGUGUGUUUGUUUUUGCAGCUUGGACAGAUUUUUGACUCUUCAGUGGGCAUAACAGGUGACUCCUAAGGUACACAUAGGCUUGAUUUCUCUACUGAUAUACUCUCUCUGUAAUGUUGUUUAAGGAUGUAAAAUUGAACAUGUAACCAGGACAAGUUGAGCUUGCUGAAUUGGAUGGACCAUUUGUGGUGAUCAGUCUCAAAGGUAGGUUUUGGCACGAACGUUCCAUGGUUCUUGCUAGAAUUGGCAACUACUUGAAGCAGAGAAUCCCUGUAAGUUUAUUCAUAGCAAUUGAGAAAUAAUAAUAAUAAUAAUAAUAAAUAAAUGAUACGGUACUCGUUCGGUCAUGGCUUCUGAUGUUCUCUUGUUUCCAGGAAAUUUUGGAGGUAGAGAUUGAAGAUGAGAAACAGCUGGAUGACAGCCCAGAAAAUUUUUAAGGUGUUCGGUUCUAGUAGGUUGUAAUAAUCUGCUUUGUAGCUCUCCGUUCUGUGGCAUUGUAUUGGAUUUCAGUAAUUUCUUCGGGUGAAAUUUAAAAAAUUAACGAAAGAGUUGCGCUACUAUUAUGAAAACACUAGCUACAGUGCUGAAAACGGCAUCAUUUCAUUAUAUAUAUAUAUAUAUAUAUAUAUAUAUAUAUAUAUAUAUAAUAAUAAUCAUAAGUGAUUUCUUAAAAUUUGAAUUUGUUUGGUUUUUGGUGUUUGAUGCAUGUAUGACAUGGUCUUUAAAUUUUAUUUGUGUUAAAACGAAGUCCUUCAAUGUAGAGAAAGGAAGGGGAAUCAAGAGGAGAGAGAAUCAUUUAUUUAUUUUUAAGUUUCUAGAGUUGAUGAAAAUAUGUUUUGAGGGUUAUUGAGAUGAUUCUAAGGUUUUGGAGUUAAAAAUGAUUUAGAAAUUAAGUUUGGAUGGUCAAAUUUUUUAGAUAACUUUCCUAUGAUUAAUAGAUUGCAUAUAAUAACGUGUUGUUUGCCACUAUUUUUUUUUUUUUUUAGCCUAGAUUACAUGUGUUUGGCCAAGCAUGUUGAGAGUGGUUUAAUCUAACUCCUUUUUAUUUUUGAUGAUUUUAUUUUUUUAAUAUUUAUUGUUUUCUCAAAAUAAAGAAUUUUCAAUAAUAAAUUAUUAUUGUGAUUUUUCUAUGCACUGGUUAAUUAUAAUUAAUUAUCCUUCUAAUAGAGGUUGAUUUAGCACUUUUUUAGCAUCGGUUUUCACAUUCUUUCCAUGAUUGACUAAGCUAGUUUGAUUUUUUUUUUAUAUAAAAUAAAUAACUAAUAGAGUGUUUUCUUAUUGUUUAAAAUCAGAUAUAUCCGUAUGAUAUAUUUAAACUCAAACAUAAAAUGCACACAUGGUGGUAAAUACUAUAAAUUUCAUAUUCAAUUAAAAAAUAUAAUUAAUUUUGAUUUAUUUUAAUUUCAUUCAUGUUAUAUUUUUAAAUAGAUUUUAUAGACUUACUCACAAGAGGAUACUCUGAUAGAGAAUCCUAUAUUAGAACUAACGGCAAAUCUGUGUUAGUUCUACCUUUUCAUUUUUCGUCAUUUUUGACAGUUGCUCCAAGAACACGGAUAUUCUUAUAAAAAUGAAGAAACGAAAUAGUUUUUCGUUGGUUGGCAGCCUCGUCAAAAAAAUCUUCCUGGAAGGUUGCUACAUUUUACUCUGCAGAUUCCUCGAUUAAAAAGGGCAAUGGAAAUCUCUACAGGAACAGACCUGGUAUUGCACAAGCAGUCCACCAUCAUCAACAGAGUCAUCAUCUCCAAGGCAUUUAGUUAAUUGAGUAACGAAAAGCAAGCACAUUUAGGAGCAUCAGCUUACGAUCAAUUAGUUGAGUCUCUGCAGAGCAUCUCCAUGAACAAGCCUCUGUUACGACCAGUCCUUGAAAUAGUGUCACUAUUGGACUUGGUUCUCGUAGAAGUAUCUUCCACUAGAGCAAUGUAAAUAUCAACAACAACUACGUAUUUUUGCUAAGGAACAAUGGGGUCAACUCCAACACCUGAUGAAUUGUAAUUUCACUCAACAACAUAUAUCAGUUUAGAGAAACCACAAAAAAAGUAAUCAUUUCUCAAAAAAUCAUCAGAUUGAAUUACACUUUUUUUACAAGACUUUAACAUGGCAAAGGUUGGUCUCUCAUUUUGUCACCCUCCUCUUUUUUCUAUAUUACUCCUUUUACUUGGUGUUCUAUUUGCUUUCCAUGUGAAUGAGGGUUGAGGUCAUUCAACUAUACAUUGAUGAGAGUGAAACUCACCAUUUGACAGCAAUCUAACAAUUAGUUUUUCAAGUCUUGCUGCUCCAGUGCCAGGCCUCAGAAUAUCAGCAUCACCCAAGCUGAGCAUGUUAUGUUUCCAGGCUCACCACCCAAGCACCACCACCAGGCACCACUUCACCAGGAUUUCGUCCCAAAACAUCUUGGUCAAUGCGAUCGAGUACAGGAUCAUCUAACUUGAAUUGAGUGGCAAAGGCUGCUCCACUCUGAUCAUUGCAUCAAAUUCACUAGAAUUAAGUGCGCGGGGCACCUUCUUAGAAGGCUUCUCAAAGGCUACAUAUUGUAAGUUAUGGUUUAUGACAGUCCUAUUGAACUGACGAGAAUUGCAUAUGACUGUUGGGAAAUAAUUGAUUAGGGAUGAAGGUGUAUUUGAUAAAUACAUCAUUAGGAUCCUCGGAAGGUUGUCCACACCCAAGAUGCAGUGCUCUAUCAAAUUACGACUUACAAAGGAAAAAGAGGUUCCUGCAGGGAAAAUAAACACUUGUGUUGAUGAAAAAAAUAAAAUAAUAGUUUGUCCAACAAGCAAAAGACUUUCAAAUUAAAGGGAGAAUUAUUUCAUGGUCAUUUGGCCCCGACCAAGCUCAUGCUAGGAUAUAAUGCUUUUGUAAAAGAAAGGAGCAGUAAAUAAACUUCAUAGCAACAUGCAUGACUUGAGGAAGAUCACUAAGCUCCAUAAAGAGAAAAAUUUGACCAUGUCCAAACUAUUGAAUUUUACAAUUAUAUGGGGUUCCAAAAUUAAUAUUUUGAGCUACGACUUUCUCUUUGCUCUUUUAUAUUACCUUCCUUUUCAUUUCUUAUCCCUUUCCACUCCUUUCUUUUCAAAAACAUACAAGCAAUUACUGGGUUCAUCUGCACAAAAAAAACCCAAUCACCAAGCUAGUUCCUGGAGAUUUUAGACAGGAAAUUUUAUUGAUACGCCUUCUAUCCACAAAAUAAUCAGUUUAAAUCUCCAAACUGGUUAAACUUAAAACUGCCAAUUUACUCAAAACUCUUGAUAGUAGAACUAAUCCUCUUGCAAAACUCUUAAUAUAAAUGACACACCAAACUAAUUCCCCAUCGGCAUCAACUGAGGAAUCAACAAUGUCAGGGAGAAACUAAAAAGAUCCUGUAGUUUUUGUUCCAUCUUCAGAUAUGCCAAUUCACCUAGCAACUAGCAUUUUGGUUAUUAGUAACCAAAGUUUUCCCAUCUAAUAAGAGUAGACAGAAUCCAUCAAACUUAGAGUAUCCACUAGGUUGAUGGAAAAUUGUAGGUUUUCUAUACUACACCACAGGUGAGUUAGCAGUGAGGGAAUUGGAGUCAUCACUGGCUUGCUAGUCAGAAAAGUAUAACUAGAAAUCAAUGGUUGAGAAUCUUUGAUGAGUUUUCAACCAAUUUCAAUUGGGGAAGAAUUUGUUUCACAAAACAAAUUAGGUGGAAUACAACAUAAAUGAAUCUUAGUAAUCAAUUGUGAGGCCCUGAAAUCAAUGGUUGAGAAUCCUUGAUAAGAGUAUUAUAUCAAAGUAUUCAGUGCGCUAUUCCAGUUUUCAAUAAGGAGCAUGAUGAUCUGAGCUUGACUAGGUUCUACUACCGCUAACAUAUUAAAGUAAUUAAGUUGAUGGCUCUCUGUAUAACUCUCCAUCAAAGAACAGAGGCAAGAGGAUUAUUCUUCCCUUAAACAGGAUUCUACAAAGUUAAAUUCUCCCCAAGUCUAGCUCCAUCAAACAGCAGAGAUGGACUGCUGUUCUUUUUUCCUGAACGAAUCCUAUAACCUUACACCUCCAGGCUAAUGCUAAAACUGAACUUCUAGUCACCACUUAUAUGGUCCAUUUCACACAUCACGGCACACAAUAUUUGAUUGGGAUAUGGAGGAGUUAUCCUGAGAAUUUAUAAUAGUGCAACUUACAUUGCCUGACAUGCUACUGACCAAUAAAACUUUCUCAAAGAAAAAAAUGGGCAGGGAAAACUGGAGAACAACGAAGUAUAAUCAAUAACAUCCUUGGAAUAUUAUGCAAAACCAUCAAAAUGUCAUAAUCUAACCCAUCUGGUUAACUACAAAUUUUGCUUCUAAUCUGCUAUACCAUGCUUGUUCCCAGUUCAAACUAGUUCAUAAGCAAUCAGUAGGCAUGCUACACUGAAAUAUCUCUUCUUUGUCCAUGACAAACAGCAUUAUGUAUUAGCUCAGUGCAAUACGCAUCUAAAAGAACAAUCAAAACAAUAGAAGAAAACAAACCUGUAAAUAGCCUGAAAGAAUUAGGCAAAUCUCGCUUUUGAGUAGCAUAAAACAUCUCAGAUUUCUCCGACAAGUAAAGCCCCGGAUCAACAAUUAUUGGCUUCAAUUGUCUAGACCUGCAAAACCACCACAUGCAACUUAUAAAUCCUUAACAAAACCAACCACAUUAACAUGACACCAAAAACAGCCAGUAAGUCUUAAAAGUCAGUUUCACAUACUCUCUCCAUCCAAUGUAACUCGAGUGAUUGACAAAGUUGAGAUCUUUAGGCAAAUAUGACAAAAUGUGAAGAAGAUCUACAAAACCCACAAAACAAAGACAAGAACUUUAAUCUCAAAACCAACAAAAACACACAUCAUAUAAUCCAAGAACAAAACUAAAAAUAUUUGAAAAAAGAAAACACAAAUGCCACCAAAAGAGUUUAAAACGUUUACCAUCUGGAGUAACAAGUGGAUAAUCAGCAGCACCAAGAUUAACAAACCAAUCCCAUUUCUUUGGCAACCUCAACAAUAUAGCAGCGCCAUGAAGUGUGGAUGAAAUGGUAGAAGACCCCUUUGGGUAAGCAAAAUCAGCCUUCCCGAUCACAUUCACAUUCUGUGCAGCUUUAAAAAUAGGCACUGAUUGGACACUAAGAGCUAAUUGAUCACGAUCGGUUUGUGGAGCAGAGAGGUCCAGGUGGAGCAAGUAUUGGUUUUUCGGGUGGUAAGUGGCAUAUAGAAGUCUAAGGACCCGAUCCAAAUCACCCUUGGACCCGGAUAUCAAGUAGGCGAUGGAGGGUGGGGUUGGAUCAGAAGGGAUUUUGGUGAAAGUGGGUUCGCGGUUUGGGAAGAGAUACGGGUCGGGCCGGCCAUGGGUGGAUAUAGAGGAGGUGUUGAAGGAGUAAGAGGAGAGGGUGAAGAUGAAGAGGAGGGAGAAAAAGGAGGUGGUUAGGAUUAUGAAGAGCGUGGUUUUGGUGUUGUCAUUUGUG
rnacentral:lncRNA from 1 species